rnacentral:pre_miRNA from 1 species
AUGUAGGGCAAUCUGUCUUUAAGUAGGGGUAAAUGACUCUUAAAAGAAUCUUAGCUAGUUUUCCCUUCAAGUCAGUUUUCCCUU